rnacentral:rRNA from 1 species
AGCAGCCGCGGUAAUUCCAGCUCCAAUAGCGUAUAUUAAAGUUGUUGCAGUUAAAAAGCUCGUAGUUGAAACUUGGGCCUGGCUGGCGGGUCCGCCUCACCGCGUGCACUCGUCCGGCCGGGCCUUCCUUCUGAAGAACCUCAUGCCCUUCACUGGGCGUGUUGGGGAAUCAGGACUUUUACUUUGAAAAAAUUAGAGUGUUCAAAGCAGGCCUUUGCUCGAAUACGUUAGCAUGGAAUAAUAAAAUAGGGCGUGCGUUUCUAUUUUGUUGGUUUCUAGAGACGCCGCAAUGAUUAACAGGAACAGUCGGGGGCAUCAGUAUUCAGUUGUCAGAGGUGAAAUUCUUGGAUUUACUGAAGACUAACUACUGCGAAAGCAUUUGCCAAGGAUGUUUUCAUUAAUCAAGAACGAAAGUUAGGGGAUCGAAGACGAUCAGAUACCGUCGUAGUCUUAACCAUAAACUAUGCCGACUAGGGAUCGGAUGAUGUUAAUUUUUUAAUGACUCA